rnacentral:rRNA from 1 species
AUUGAACGCUGGCGGCAGGCUUAACACAUGCAAGUCGAGCGGUAACAGGGGGAGCUUGCUCCCUGCUGACGAGCGGCGGACGGGUGAGUAAUGCAUAGGAAUCUGCCCGGUAGUUGGGGAUAGCCCGGGGAAACCCGGAUUAAUACCGAAUACGCCCUACGGGGGAAAGCAGGGGAUCUUCGGACCUUGCGCUAUCGGAUGAGCCUAUGUCGGAUUAGCUGGUUGGUGGGGUAACGGCCUACCAAGGCGACGAUCCGUAGCUGGUCUGAGAGGAUGAUCAGCCACAUCGGGACUGAGACACGGCCCGAACUCCUACGGGAGGCAGCAGUGGGGAAUAUUGGACAAUGGGGGCAACCCUGAUCCAGCCAUGCCGCGUGUGUGAAGAAGGCUUUCGGGUUGUAAAGCACUUUCAGUGAGGAGGAAAACCUGAUGGUUAAUAUCCAUGAGGCUUGACGUUACUCACAGAAGAAGCACCGGCUAACUCCGUGCCAGCAGCCGCGGUAAUACGGAGGGUGCGAGCGUUAAUCGGAAUUACUGGGCGUAAAGCGCGCGUAGGUGGUUUGGUAAGCGAGAUGUGAAAGCCCCGGGCUUAACCUGGGAACGGCAUUUCGAACUGUCAGACUAGAGUGUGGUAGAGGGUAGU